UAGGUAAAAGCCAAAAUAGCGGCAUAUGAUUGUUAAUUAUAUUAUUAUAAUAUAUUUAUUUACUUAG
rnacentral:tRNA from 1 species